rnacentral:rRNA from 1 species
GAUGAACGCUGGCGGCGUGCCUAAUACAUGCAAGUCGAGCGAACAGACGAGGAGCUUGCUCCUCUGACGUUAGCGGCGGACGGGUGAGUAACACGUGGAUAACCUACCUAUAAGACUGGGAUAACUUCGGGAAACCGGAGCUAAUACCGGAUAAUAUAUUGAACCGCAUGGUUCAAUAGUGAAAGACGGUUUUGCUGUCACUUAUAGAUGGAUCCGCGCCGCAUUAGCUAGUUGGUAAGGUAACGGCUUACCAAGGCAACGAUGCGUAGCCGACCUGAGAGGGUGAUCGGCCACACUGGAGCUGAGACGCGGACCAGACUCCUACGGGAGGCAGCAGUAGGGAAUCUUCCGCAGUGGGCGAAAGCCUGACGGAGCGAGGCCGCGUGAGAGAUGAAGGUCUUCGGAUCGUAAAACUCUGUUAUUAGGGAAGAACAAAUGUGUAAGUAACUGUGCACGUCUUGACGGUACCUGAUCAGAAAGCCACGGCUAACUACGUG